AGAAAAAGAUGGAAAUAAGAAACAAAAACAAAAACUGAAAAGAGAAGACUGUUAACUAUUAUUCUCAAGAAAGAAAUCUGUAACAGACCAUUUGUGGACAACAAGGCAGGUCCUGGAGGAGGAGUCAUGACUGAAAGAUGGAUCCUGACUCUGCCCUUCGCGGCCCCUGGUUCCACCUUCCACUGAGCUCGCUGUGUUCCAGUUACUCCGGUUGCUCUAGGCUCCCCCAGACUGUGGGCCCCACCCCGGACUCGCUUAUGUGGCCAGACUCGGAAAGUGAUGGACAGCCUAAAGGAAGAAACCACGGCAUCAUCCAAAGGAGGAGCAGCACAGACCACAAAAAGAGCCCAUAACAUGCUGGUGCCCGAGUCAGGAAUGCCAACUAGAGAUAAGUCAAAGUAGAGAUCCUGGGGGUGGGGGAUAUGGUAAUGGGCUGGGCCCAGAGCCCUUCUCUGCUGAGGAGCCACAAAGGAAUGGAGAGUGGACGAGACCUGGCAUGCAAAAGGAAGAGACGGAGGAACUGGGAAGCAGCUGCCACCUGCUGUGUAACCUGGGCUUGGCUGGCACAGGCUGGCCUGGUCCCUUCUCUGUGUAGUAGGAUGUGGGCUACCACAAGAAUGCGGGCAACGCUGUGUGUCAGAGUAGAAAACUCUGAAUUCCUCAGCACAUGAGGGAAGUUUACUCAGCCCAGCGGAGGUAAUCAUACUUCACUAUGGAAUGAGGCCUUCACACAUGUCCACCAUGUUUGGGCACCUGGGCAGGGGGAGGGUUCCCUCUGCCUGGAGUGGGAUAAGGGGCAGGGAGAGCCACAAAGAGGAGCUGAUUCUCCAGACCCAUCUGAUCUGCUCUUGGACACUAGGUGGGAUGAGAAGGGAGGGCAAAAAACAUACUGAGCUCUCACAAGGGUCUAGGUGCUGGCUAGGCACUUUCCAGAAAGUUUCCUUCCAGGAAGAAGAGCCACACAAAGGUCUAGAGAUGGGAAAAUAUAAUGGUGUGUCUGGUUUUCUUUCUCCUCUUAAAGAUGCCCUUUAAAGCUACUGGAGGCACUGGGCCAGGCACCACCAGCUAGGAGGAACGUUUUGUCCAUUCCUACUCCCCUGUUAAUGUAGAAAAGCCCAUUACAUAUGAACCAUUUAUUUUUAUUUCUAAGAAUUUACCCCAGAGCAGUAAUCAGAGAUGUAUGUCAAUAUAUAUUCACAGUGCUCAAAAACAGGAAACCAAAUGGUCAACCACGAAAGUUUGGUUAAAAUACUAUGUAGUCAUCAAAAAGCAUGUUUCAAAAAAUUAGUUCAUGGCAUGGAAAUAGCUACACCCCAUAUAAAUGAAAAAAAAACAGGUUAUAAAAGAAUAUGAUUCCAACUUUGAAAAAAAGUAUAAUACACUUUUAAAAGAAUGAAAGUAAAUAUAAUGUUCACAGAGUCUGUCUCUGUGUGGUGGGAUUAUAGGAGGUAACCUUCAUCCUUGUCUAUUUUCUUCUACAAUAAAUGUGUUUUGCUGUUUAAAAAUUUAAUAAAAACACAAUAACUGUUAUUAAAAAAAAACAUACACAAUUGAAAACAGGCCCACAGGGGGUAGGCUCACCUUCUGCAGGAUGGGGCUAGGGCAGAUGUUGUCAAACAGGACUGAGUUGAAGAUCCCAUACACGCCCUCAUCAAGGUGGUACACGACGGUCUUGGGGGCGGAACCGUUUUCCUCUGCAGGGAGGGGAGGGGUCAGGGCAGCACAAGCAGCAGUGUGAGGGGGUGAUAGUGGGGAGCUGGCACGAAUGGAUGACAGGUCUAUGAAGCAAAAGGGCUGGCCCUUCCUCAGCCAUGGGAUGGGCCCUGCAACAGGUGCCACCAACAGCCAUCCUCCUGGUGACAUGGGUUCACUGUCGUGUUGGGAACACUCACCCUUGCAACUGAACAACCCUGCCCAGAACACACUCUCCUGCCUGCCGCUGAGCCCCUAGAUGACCUGGCAAAGGCAGAAGAGCAGCCCACCCAAACUUGGGACCCCAAGAGGUUAAGCCACUCGCUCAGGGGCACACGAUAGGGCAGUAGAUAAGCUGGAAUGAGAAGCCAGGUCUCCUGGUUGGACUAGAUGAGACAAUCCCCAGGUCUAUAAAGGAAGCCAGAAGAAUGCCAUUUCCUACACACACACACACACACACACACACACACACAGAGGACAUUCUUCCUGGAGCCCACCACCCUUCCAUAUGGAUUCUCUGAAGAGGGGCACACAGUCCUGAGGCCCUCCUGUCUGAGGGUCCCAGGGCAGAGAGCAAAGUCAGAGUCCCUCACCCCUCUCGUUCACAGGAACGCUGGGAGGACUGAUCUAUCUGGAAGGGCAGGGAAGAGCUUUGAUGUUAGCAUCGUGGGCCCAGGAGCUCUGAACCAAGUGAGCCCGACAUGAACUUGAAUCCCAGCACUGCCUUUUAUCAGCUGUGUGACCCUGAGCUAGUGACUCAACCUCUCCCUGCCUAUGUUCUGUCAUCUAUAGAGUAGACUUAAACAACCAUAAGUUGUCAUUAAUUAUUUUCAUUACAUUAUGAGAAGCAGUAAGGUUGAGUAAGAGCCUGUAUUUUGGAGACAGACAUGGGGUCAAAUGCAGGCUUUACCUCUUGCUAGCUAUUAAGCAAUUUGCUUGUAUUCUCUUUGGCUCUCAGUUUCUUCAUCUGUAAAAUGGGGUCAAUAAAGUAUCUAUUCUCCCUAAGGUUGUUUUGAUCUCAAUCAUCACAAAAUAUGAACACACCUAGGAAAAAAUAUUCUAAAUAAAUGUCUUGGAGUGAGGGGAUUUGAUUGUAAGUUUCCCUAAAGCAAAGACCCAUUCUCUAGAUUCCCUCACCCCCUGCCACUGAGUCUAAAACCAGACCCGGCUUGGCCAGCAACUGUCCCCAGCUUCAGGGGAGAAUGGGGCUCUGCUGCCGAUCUGGCACCUACCCUCGCUGCCGGGCUGGUGCAGAAGAAUCUCCUUCUUGGCAAUAAUGCUGACUGCGACAGUGAAAGCUGAGGUCACGUAGUAGCGCCCCAGCUCAGCAAGGAUGUCCACGCCACAGCCCUCUGGGAAGUACAGGUCCAAGGCUGAGUUGAUCACAGAAGCAAUCUGGUGGGAGUCGAGUGGGGGACAAUCACGUGUUUGAAAUGUGGGGGUUAUGCUGAAGACUUGCUACAGCUCCAAAUCUAUCUUGAAAGCUUCUUUGAUUUCAGGAAGAAGGACUUGGCAGCUGCUAAGUUAACUGCAGGCAGCUGACCAAGAAGGUAGGAGGGAGGUAGAGCUGGGUCGAGACCCUCAUGCUUGUGUACAUCGCCCUCCUCAAUGCCCCCACAAUGGGAAGGGGCACACUUCUUAUCACAUUUGGUACUCAGAUUCCAGAAGCCCUGAUAUGGAUCUUUCUUUCAUAAAUAACCAAUUUGCUAAAUACAACUGACCCUUGAACAACACAAGCUUGAACUGUGUGGGUCCACUUAUACACAGAUUUUCUUCCACUUCUG